UCAGGAACUGUGAGAUUAUGACCUGAACCAAAGUUGGAUGCUUAACUGACUGAGCCACCCAGGUGCCCCUCCAAGGCAAAGAAUAGAUAAGUGACUUGCCUAACAACACAAAUAAUGAGUAACAGUCCUGAGGCAGAAAUGACAUUUGCUCCACAUGUACUGUGGGCUAGACACAGUGCUAGUCUCAACAUGGAGAUAACUUCUGGCACUUCCCUUAAAACUCACAGGUCACAGCACUGUGGCCCUUCGGUGACCAUAGUGGGCGAAAGGCAUCUGGAUGUCCACACCCAGCAAGACUGUAGGCUAUAGUCCAGUCUCGAGUUCUGCUACCCCUCCAAGAUGGAGCCCCUCACCUCUUACCUUCUUUGAGGUUCAUCUGGAAAAUGGAUAUACCAUAGUUUUCAUUAUUGUUGGCUAUGAAAUAGGAAUAAAGCCCAGCUUUGGGUGCCCAAGUUUCCAGGAAUGAGGUGGGUCCCCACCAAUGCCCUUUGAAAAAGUGAGAAGGGAACUGUCAGAGUUUGGGAAUCUAGAGGAUUGAGGAAGAAGGGAUCCAGAUAGAAUCAGGUUGUUCCUUACGGUUGUUGAAGGAAAUAGUGAGGGAAAGGAGACGGGCCGGAUGAGGGGGCAGUCCUCCAGCAGCCUCAUUCAGAUGUAACACAAUUAUAGGCUGUGUGACAAGUAAUGAUUCCUUUAAAGCCCUGUUGGUUUCCUGCAAAAGCUGUUCCCAGGUUGACCCACUGGGCUCGCUUUGGUUCCCCCAGAAGGCAGGCCAGUCAGACAAUACGGCCAUCAUCAGAUGGUUGGGAAGAGGCUAGGAGGCAGAAACUGAAGCCCGAUGCCUCAUAUCUAGGGUAUCUGAGCUGUGCAUUUGCACCCUGACAGUAAGUUGUUGACAGCAAAUUGGAAAGAGUUGUUGAACAAGCAAGUGUUGUUCCCAUGGCAGCCAGGCCCUUAAUAGAAGCAAAGAGAAUAAGCUUCUGUGUGAGACCAAAGAAGCUUCUUUUCCCUUUGUCCAAAGAGCAUUGGGGAGGUGACACAUAAUGGCAUGUCUGUGGCCCUGGGUUCUCUCUAAGUUGGGUCUCCACCACUGACUCGCCGGGGAGUGGAACAUCUCUCCUCUUGUUGGGCUUAAUCUUCAAGACCCAACUCUCCUGCCACUUCCUUUGCCAAGCCUGCUCAGGUUCUCCCUAACUGUUCUUUUCUGUAUGUUAGCACAGCAUCCUCUAUUCCACCCUUAUACCAUGUAGCACAACUUAGCACGUUACCAUGUCUGUUUCCUCUGUUAGACUAUGAACUCCAAAGUUAGGGACUUCGUCUGAUUCAUCUCACUAUUGCCCUUGCCCAGCUCAGUGACUGACAUAGGAUUAGCAUUCAGCAAGUUUUCUUGAAUAAAUGAACCUGUAAAAUGGA